AGGCUCAGGGUCUAUUGAAGAAGAAAUGGUGGAAAGAAUGUAAGAGCCAAAGGCAAGAUGAUGCCCCAGCUGCUUCCUCUGCCAUGAUUUUCUCCACCCUAAUGAAACCUCUCUUCAAAACUGUAAGACCAAAAUAAACCCUUUCCUCCAAUAUGCUGCUUCUGAACAGGUGUUUUUUUCCUUAGCAACCAGAAGCUAACUGCUGAACCUAGUAAAGCAAGUAGAAUGAUACAGUAUGGCCUGUCAUCAGAAUGCUAUCCUUCCUAAAGUCACCAGCAUCCCUCAUUCAUGCUGUCUAUGUCCAGUGUCUUCUGGGGAAGCUGCAUUCCCAUGGCUAUGGGUGAGAGGUUCCAGAUGUCACAUGCAUAGUUGAAACCAAUGACCUUAAAGAAUUCCGCUCAGUGACCUGAAUGUUCUUCCAAGAAUCCAAGCUGUGUUCACCCAGCCAAGUGCAUGGGAAACUACUUGAGGUGGAAGCAACUGACUUCUCAGGCUUGUUGGGGUGAGGAGGCCCCAGAACAGACCCCCUCUCUUGCCUAGCACAACUGCUGCCUCCCUGCAUUCAUCCCAAGAUUGGCCAGCAAGUGUGUAUGUGUUGCAAAGUGUUUUGAGUCAAGAGCCAAAGAGCCCUGACCUCCCACAACACAAAAUGCUGCUUUCAGCUUAAAUAUACACUGGAAAAACAAAUGUAAUCGUGUGGAAACCAAAUUACAAAAGGAAAAUUUUCAUCUAGCGCUCCCUGGACCUCCAUGGCAUUGGAUUUGGCUUCAGUUUAUAUCUUUCCCUUGGCGGAGAAAAUAUGCUCAAGAAUGAGGAGUCCAAGAAGGACGUCUGGAGUGGGACCAUGGAAAACGGUCGCAUGGCCCUUGGAGGCCGGAUCUUGUUCCUUUCCUUUUACCGCAUUCCCAGCAAAAGAACCAGUCCCCACUGCAGACCUCCUUUCUAGGACGCACAAGUCAAACUGGUCAGCGCUAGACCGGCUCGCCCCGCAGGCCCCGCCUUCACUGAGCCACGGCUCCGCCUCCGA